UCUGCCCUGUGAGGAUGCAGCAAGAAAACCCUCACCAGAUGCCAGUGCCUUGAUCUUGGACUUCCCAGCCCCCAGAGCUGACUAGAUCGCUAGCUGGCCCUUUGAUUUAACUCUUCAUCUACCAUAGUCAGGUGCCACAGCUUGAUGAACGAGAUAGAAUCGCACAAUGGGAUCAAAGGGACAGCCAGCCCAGUUUAUUUCCAGAGGAAAAGCUUACCAGGACACAAAGGAGGAAAAAAGACUCGGCUUGAAACCAAUUCUUCCCUGAAGUACAAAUGUAAGAGAAAAGACAUCACCAGGAGCAGUUACGUCUAUGGCAAUCGUAGCUCUGUAAGCCUGGCCUGCUCACGUGGAAGUAAAUUAUUUGAUGAGCUGGGGAAAUAUAAGCAGUUUGUGUGGAUUAAAAGGAAAUCCUCACCCAAACUAUAUCUUUAAAAAUUAUCUAGAUAAUUCAGGUGAAAGCAGGCUUUCUCCCUUGUGAAUUAUUAAAGUAAUUGAUUACAUCCAUCUGCUCCUCGUCAGAGAAUUCAAGGGCCAAAUGCUUUUUCGGCGUCUCCUUUUCUAUCCUUCCCUUUCAUGUGACUUACUCUUGUCUGAAUCAGGAGUUUCUGUGAAUAAUCACCGGCCAGCUGUCACCGGUUCUCUUUUCACCUGUUCUCUUUGCAAAUCUGAGCAAUCCAAACCUGCAGGGGUAACAUUCCCCAACUGACUGAGAGUACAUAAGUGGUUCUUCAGCUCUGAGAUGAUCCUAUCAUUGGCUGCUUUAAAAUUUGUGAUUAGUCUGCUUUUUGGGCAUGUGAAAUAUAAUUGGUGGUGCAGAUAAACUUUUAUUCACCAGAGAGAGCUUAUUACAGAGCUGCUUGUCAUGACACGUGGAAACUCAGGAAACUUCUGUGGAGUCUCUGUGUGGCGAUUCUGGCCAGAAUGGUCGUAUGUUUUCAAGAUGCUAACUCUAGUUUCCCCAAAGCUGUCUUUUGCCUGCUGGCUUUGGUCCUAUUCCACGUGACUGUGGAGUGCCUCAAACUCAAGACAGCAAAUGGGAAAGGAACAGGAUCUGGCUCCUGGGAAUGGCCUGCUACCUGACAAGGUGCCCUGAUCAGCUGAGUGCUAAAAACCCCGUGCUGCCCUGUGAGCCUACACGUCGGGUGAAUGAUCUCCAGCUGGAUACAUAGGGGGAUGCAGGGUUAAAAUGGAAGUAUUUGUUUCAAUUUAAUUAAACAUUUUAG
rnacentral:lncRNA from 10 species